rnacentral:rRNA from 1 species
GGUGGUGCAUGGUUGUCGUCAGCUCGUGUCGUGAGAUGUUGGGUUAAGUCCCGCAACGAGCGCAACCCUUAUUACUAGUUGCCAGCAUUUAGUUGGGCACUCUAGUGAGACUGCCGGUGACAAACCGGAGGAAGGUGGGGACGACGUCAAAUCAUCAUGCCCCUUAUGACCUGGGCUACACACGUGCUACAAUGGACGGUACAAAGAGCUGCAAGCCCGCGAGGGUUAGCCAAUCUCAUAAAACCGUUCUCAGUUCGGAUUGUAGUCUGCAACUCGACUACAUGAAGCCGGAAUCGCUAGUAAUCGCGGAUCAGCAUGCCGCGGUGAAUACGUUCCCGGGUCUUGUACACAC